GCCAGACUCCUACGGGAGGCAGCAGUGGGGAAUAUUGCACAAUGGGGGAAACCCUGAUGCAGCGACGCCGCGUGAGUGAAGAAGUAUUUCGGUAUGUAAAGCUCUAUCAGCAGGGAAGAAAUAGCGACCUUUGGGUCGCCAGACGGUACCUGAUUAAGAAGCCCCGGCUAACUACGUGCCAGCAGCCGCGGUAAUACGUAGGGGGCAAGCGUUAUCCGGAUUUACUGGGUGUAAAGGGAGCGUAGACGGCAGCGCAAGUCUGAAGUGAAAUGCCGGGGCUUAACCCCGGAACUGCUUUGGAAACUGUAUUUCUAGAGUGUCGGAGAGGCAAGUGGAAUUCCUGGUGUAGCGGUGAAAUGCGUAGAUAUCAGGAGGAACACCAGUGGCGAAGGCGGCUUGCUGGACGAUGACUGACGUUGAGGCUCGAAAGCGUGGGGAGCAAACAGGAUUAGAUACCCUCGUAC
rnacentral:rRNA from 1 species